GUUUAACCACAAUGGUUACAACCGUGUUCACAGUCAAGAGCGACAGCAGAGCGGAUGUCUGCUGAGUAAACACCGUGUUGUUGACUGCUGUCACAGUUUUGUAACUGUACAACAGGGUCGCAGUAGACGGCAACCCAAACAGCUGACAGUUGCACAGAAAGAGGAAGGCAGAGGCUUGAGAGUCCCAAAAGUGUCGGCAUCAGAGCUUCUCUGAAAACUGUGUAAAAGGAGUGGACAUAGCCACUGUGACAUCAUGCCUUUGUUUGUGGACUACAGUUUUGAAGCCACAAGUUGGGCAUUUUGGCCGUCGCCACCUUGGUGUGUUGGAUCCAGAAGUGACCAUAUUCGGAUGACAGGGUGGAGCUGUGGUGGAUCUCACUGAGAACCCAAUCACAAGGUAGCGACACCCUAAAGCAUACCCUACUUUAUUGUUAUUUUACUUUAAAUGGGACCAUAAUUUACAAAAUGAACAUGCUGUUGGUUAAAUACUCAAAACUAGUGAUUUAGACCAUAAACCGCUUUAGAAAAUGUUUACUGAGGUAAUAAAUCAAGUGAAAAGCAGGAGCAUUUUGUCACAGGGCCUUUGCCAAACUGGACUCCCACUCCGUCAUGGAGUGUAACUUUGUUUGUAGUCACCUUCACAGCUGAAUGAAGCACCCUUCAUUAAGGUGUAGGGUAUAAAUACAGUGACAAGCUUUGGGA